rnacentral:rRNA from 1 species
CCUACGGGUGGCUGCAGUGGGGAAUAUUGGGCAAUGGAGGAAACGCUGACCCAGCAACGCCGCGUGAAUGAUGAAGGUCUUCGGAAUGUAAAGUUCUUUUCUAAGGGAAGAAGAAAGUGACGGUACCUUAGGAAUAAGCCUCGGCUAACUACGUGCCAGCAGCCGCGGUAAUACGUAGGAGGCGAGCGUUAUCCGGCAUGACUGGGCGUAAAGGGUGCGUAGGUGGGUUGGCAAGUUAGUCGCGAAACUCCAGGGCUCAACCUUGGAACUACUACUGAAACUGUUGGACUUGAGUGCAGGAGAGGCAACCGGAAUUCCUAGUGUAGCGGUGAAAUGCGUAGAUAUUAGGAGGAACACCAGUGGCGAAGGCGGCUUGCUAGACUGUAACUGACGCUGAGGCACGAAAGCGUGGGGAGCAAACAGGAUUAGAUACCCCGGUAGUC